GUGCUCGCUCCCACAGCACACAUACUAAACUUGGAACAAUACAUAGAUUAGCACAGCCCUGCGUAAGGAUGGCGCGCAAAUUCGUGAAGCAUUCCAUAUUAAA